AGAGUUUGAUCAUGGCUCAGGACGAACGCUGGCGGCGUGCCUAAAACAUGCAAGUCGAACGGGGUAGCAAUACCUAGUGGCGAACGGCGGAGUAAUACGUGAACAACGUGCCUUGAAGACUGGGAUAGCCAGGGGAAACCCUGAGUAAUACCGGAUGUGGCAACGAGAUGGCGUCUUCUCGUUACUAAAUGGUUUUUCGCUUCAAGAGCGGUUCAUGGCCUAUCAGCUAGUUGGUGAGGUAACGGCUCACCAAGGCGACGACGGGUAGGGGGUCUGAGAGGAUGAUCCCCCCGGGUGGGACUGAGACACGGCCCACACACCUACGGGUGGCAGCAGUUGGGAAUCUUGCACAAUGGAGGAAACUCUGAUGCAGCGACGCCGCGUGGAGGACGAAGGGUCUAGGCUCGUAAACUCCUUUUUUCGGGAAAGACUUAGGACGGUACCCGAAGAAUAAGCACCGGCUAACUACGUGCCAGCAGCCGCGGUAAGACGUAGGGUGCAAGCGUUGUCCGGAUUUACUGGGCGUAAAGAGCGCGUAGGCGGCUCGUUAAGUGAGAAGUUAAAGCUGUGGGCUUAACCCACAAACCGCUUUUCAUACUGGCGAGCUGGAGUGAUGCAGAGGUGGAUAGAAUUCCCGGUGUAGCGGUGAAAUGCGUUGAUAUCGGGAGGAAUACCCGUGGCGAAGGCGGUCCACUGGGCAUCAACUGACGCUGAGGCGCGAAAGCGUGGGUAGCAAACAGGAUUAGAUACCCUAGUAGUCC
rnacentral:rRNA from 1 species